rnacentral:lncRNA from 1 species
UGAACUAAAAUUCAGUUCAUGUUUCUGUUGUCUUUUUAAACGAGUUGUUCCAUCCUCUAUUUUCUUUGCAUUGGCAUGGAUUUCGGCUGAGAAGAGCGCUAUUACUCUUUUCUAGGAAGCCAAAGGUUGAUAACCAUGUAUUACAUGGCCUUACCUGCAUGCCUUGUGCAUGACUCCUAGCAGUGAUGGAAAUCCUGACAUCUCCUAAUCCUGAACUCAACAAAAUGCUCCAUGACUAACGUGGUUCAAUGUGGCUUGAAGUACUCAGGUAGCAAUGGGUGAUUGUCAUACGACUUCUAAAUGAUAAAAGUUGUGAUAGUUGUCU